GUCCACGCCGUAAACGAUGGAUACUAGCUGUUGGGCGCAAGUUCAGUGGCUAAGCGAAAGUGAUAAGUAUCCCACCUGGGGAGUACGUUCGCAAGAAUGAAACUCAAAGGAAUUGACGGGGCCCGCACAAGCGGUGGAGCAUGUGGUUUAAUUCGAUGAUACGCGAGGAACCUUACCAAGGCUUAAAUGUAGAUUGACCGUUUUUGGAAACAGAACUUUCGCAAGACAAUUUACAAGGUGCUGCAUGGUUGUCGU
rnacentral:rRNA from 1 species